UGCUCCCUCACCCACUUCUUCCUUCCAAAGUCCUUUCAUCCGCAAUUGGCUCAAUCCUUCGAUCUCCGACCUGCUGCAAAGGAGCGAAAGUCUGUGGAAUGGACUAGACCACCAGUGUCCCAAAGGAGGGGAGAAACAUAAGAAAUUACCUCUUGCUUUAGCUGUGUAUGCAAAGGGCCUCAAUAUUGGACUUGGAAGGUGAGGAAGCUGAGACAGAAGUCAAGUUGUAACUCAAAAUCACAAAAGUAGCAUGUGGUAUAGCUAAGUAUAAAUCCUAACUCGGACCUGAGUUCUUUACCACUGCACUAUAUAAUGGCUUCCCACUAAGCUGCUAACAUGUUCAUCUUAGGUAUGGAAAGAAAGACUUACAGAAGUGAAGUCACUUCUCCAGGAUCAUACCAAAGUGGAGUAGAGUUUUCCCACCAAGAAAACCCGGGACAAGUGCUAAAAAACAAAAGCAAAUCACCCUCCUCUCUGCCCAAAAAAAGCAGAAAGGGAAGAAAUGUGAUGAAGAGGAAAAAUAGGAGAAGAUGACCUAUGCAGAAACAACUGUAGGAAAGAGACUAGUUAGCAGAUGAGAGUGGAUUGCAACAGAAGAAUUGCAAGCUAUCCAAAGUUACUGGAGAAUUUAGUGCAGGUUGGGGAGAAGAAAGAGUUGAACUAGACUGUCAGGCACUGGUCAGAUCACAAUGGGCUAUGUCCUGCAAAAGAAUUUGGACCUUGGGCCAUGGACAUAGCUCAGGGGUGCCGCACCUGCCUGGCAAGCACAAGGUCUUGAGUUCAUUCCCUAGUACCAAAAAAAAAAAAAGGAGAAGAAUGAGAUCUCUAGCCUAUUUUAUAGGGUUGAGGAUUUAGCUCAGUGCCUGGAAAGUGCAAGGUCCAGAAUUCAAUCCCUAGUACUGAAACAACAAUAACAAAAAGAAUUUGGACCUUAUCCUGAAAUUGCUGAAGGAUAAAACAAAGAUAACAGCCGGGCGUGGUGGCACAGGCCUGUAAUCUCAGCACGGAGGAGGCUGAGACAGAAGGAUUGCUGCAAAUUGAGGAUAGCCUGGGUUACUUAGUGAAUUCAAGGUCAGCCUGAACUGCAAAGUGAGACCCUGUCUCAAAAAACAAAGAUAACAAAAAUAACUGUAAUAUUGUGAUAGGCUGAUAAUUUUUCCAAAGAUGUUCAUGUUCUAAUGUUAUCAGGUAGCUUGUUUCUAAAAAGUAGCUCACCAACUAGAUGUUACUGGGUUCUGGAGUUGGAUUCCAGGUUCUUACCUCAAAUAAAGAAUCGAAUGAUAAUGAAUAAUUGAAAAUGUGAAAUGGGAA